UGGCUCACUAAUCACUGUAUACACAGCA
rnacentral:piRNA from 1 species